UUUUGGUCGUGGGAAAAGUAGUGAGACGAUUAUUGAUUAGUCGUUAUGGUUGUGGAAAUAGGAUGGAUGGGAAUAUAAUGAUUGCAAUAACGAGGGGUAGGCCUAAGAGUGUAGGGGUAGUGAAAGGGGUGAAUAAAUUUUCGUUCAUUUUAGUUCUCAAGGAUUAGAUGCUUUGGUGUAUAGAAAAUUUUUGGCCUGUGGUUGUGGGUGGAAAGUGAAGGUUUUAAAUUUUAAUUGGAAAAUAAUGAAUAGGGUGAGUGUGGUUCCUAUAAUGGUAACAAAUCAUGGUGAUGUAUCUAAUUGUGGCAUAUCAUUAUGGGACAAUUGGUGUCCUGUCUUUAACUUAAAAGGUUAAUGCUUUAAUAGCUUCAUAAUGGGGUCUAAAGUAUUGUUGUUGAUCAUGAUUCAAAAUAUUUAAGUGGGACUAUUUCGACGACAAUUGGUAUGAAACUAUGGUUGGAACCGCAAAUCUCAGAGCAUUGGCCGUAGAAUAGUCCUGGUCGUGUAGAUGAUAGGGUGGCUUGGUUUAGUCGUCCUGGGAUAGCAUCUGUUUUGAUUCCUAGUGAGGGUACUGCUCAUGAAUGUAGUACAUCUUCUGAGGAAACUAGUAUGCGGAUGGGUAGAUCUAUUGGGAGGACGACUCGGUUGUCUACUUCUAGGAGACGUAGUUCUCCAGGUUUAAGGUCAGAUGUGGCGAUUAUGUAGGAGUCAAAUAUAAGGUCGUUGAAGUCAGUAUAUUCGUAGCUUCAGUAUCAUUGAUGUCCUAUGGUCUUUACUGUUAGUGCUGGGUCGUUGAUUUCGUCUAUUAUAUAAAGAAUGCGAAGGGAGGGUAGAGCAAUCAUAACUAGGAUAACGGCUGGAAGAAUUGUUCAGAUAGUUUCUACUUCUUGAGCAUCCAUAGUGCUAGUGUGGGUGAGUUUAGUGGUUAAUAUCAAUGAAAUGAUAUAUAGGACUAGGGUGCUAAUAAGAAAUACGAUUAUGAGAGUAUGGUCAUGGAAGUCAGUUAAUUCUUCUAUGAUUGGAGAUGAAGCAUCUUGAAGUCCUAUUUGAAGGGGGUAAGCCAUAGAGAUAUAUAAGUAUUAGGCUUAUAAUUUAACUUUGACAAAGUUAUGUAAUUAAUUUUACUAAUAUCUCAUUUUGAGAAAGACAUAUUGGAUAUGGGACUGGCUUGAUACCAGUUUUAGGGGGUUCGAAUCCUUCCUUUCUUAGUUGGCCGGUUUUACAUAGGCUGGUUCUUCGAAGGUGUGGAAUGGUGGUGGACAUCCAUGGAUUCAUUCAAGGUUUGUUGAUGUUAUUUGCACUGUUGUUACUUCACGUUUUGAUGCGAAUGCUUCUCAGAUUAUGAAAAUUAUUAGGAUUACGGCUGUUAGGGAAAUAAAUGAACCUAUAGAUGAAAUUGUGUUUCAUGUAGUGUAGGCGUCUGGAUAGUCGGAGUAUCGUCGUGGUAUACCUGCUAGUCCUAGGAAAUGUUGAGGGAAGAAGGUCAUAUUUACACCAAUAAAUACAAUGGUGAAGUGUGUUUUAGCUCAUAUGUCACUUAGUGUAUAGCCGGUAAAUACAGGGAAUCAGUGAACGAAGCCUCCUAUAAUGGCAAAUACAGCUCCUAUAGAAAGAACGUAGUGGAAAUGGGCUACUACGUAGUAUGUAUCGUGAAGUACGAUGUCUAGGGAUGAGUUUGAUAGAACAAUUCCGGUUAGUCCACCUACUGUGAAUAGGAAAAUGAAUCCUAGUGCUCAUAAUAUGGCUGGCGAUCAUUUAAUAUUUCCUCCGUGGAGAGUAGCUAGUCAGCUGAAUACUUUCACUGCUGUUGGGAUAGCAAUAAUUAUUGUAGCAGAUGUAAAGUAGGCUCGAGUAUCUACGUCUAUUCCUACUGUAAAUAUAUGGUGUGCUCAUACAAUGAAUCCUAGGAAUCCAAUAGAUAUUAUGGCUCACACCAUGCCUAUAUAUCCGAAGGGUUCUUUUUUUCCUGAAUAAUAUGUAACGAUAUGUGAGAUUAUUCCGAAUCCGGGAAGAAUGAGAAUGUAGACUUCUGGAUGGCC